GUACUUGCUUCAACAGCACAUAUACUAAAAUUGGAACGAUACAAAGAAGAUUAGCAUGGCCCCUGCACAAGAAUGACACGCAAAUUCAUGAAGCAUUCAAUAUUUUA